GGCGGCGAAGCUCGCUGAGUUCUGCGCCGCAACCUCACCGUCUGCUCCACUGCGACCUCGCCCUGUUACUACGUACAACAGACUGCCCGCCCCAUCCACGCGCCACCAUUCUCCACCUCGGCGCCAUCCCGUCACCACACCCGGCGCCUACCUCCGCUACCGGCCGACGCCUACGGCCUACCUUCGCCAUCAGCCGACGGCUAGAUCCGCCAUCUGCUGACGCUGGAGAAGACGACUCUAGCCUUCAGGUAUCCCUUUGGAUGUUAAAACCUUGUAUUUUUGUUGUUUAUUUUGGUUCUAUCUGUCACCCCAUUUAUGCUGAUUGUGUUAGAUGUAACUAAUCCUAGCUGAGAUUAACUGCGGUGAUGUCUCUCUGUAUUUUUCUUAGACUACAUAUUCGAGAAAUCACUGAAACCACUUGCUAUAUUUUGCUUAGACCAAAUAUUCGAGAAAUUACUUACAAAAAAUGUCAGUAACUUAUGGCAAGAGAUGAGUUCGAAAUAAUUUUAACCGAUUCAAAGUAAAAUGUCAGCAACUUAGAACAAGUAGUUUUGGUGUGAUGUGGAUGAAGCAUCUAGCACUUGUACAAUUAAUGGAGGAUAAUAAUAGCAAGUCCAUGCCCAUCUAGUCAGAUCAGAGUGACACUGUUGAAUUAAGAGAUCAUUUUCCUUGCGCUACUGCCUACUAUACAUGAACAAAACCAAGAUAACAAAAAGUGUCUCGCAGAUUGUUGCUCGCCCACAGAUAUGCAGAAGAACAAUCCACACAAUUGAUAAAUAUGUGCACAAAUAUGAAAUGUUCCCUAACUUAAGUACCUUUCAGAUCCAAUGUGUAUGGUACGCAUGUGCUCCGGGCCACCUUCAGGGUUGCUGUUUUUGCAACAGUAAAACUGUGGCAGCAUAUCAACGGCGACAUUUAUCUUUGUUGUUGCCUGUUCUCCAGAGAACAUAGGAAGCAAUCUAUAUUACAAGUUGGUUACUGGAAUUCAAUGUGGAACAUAAAUAGCUUUGCACGUAAGAAUUUUUCAGAUGCUGUUUAGCAUUGCUAUGAAUAAUCUGUUUCCCAAAAUCAUGAGUUCUUAUUACUAGAUAAAAUUUGGCAUUCAUGCUCAUGUACACAAGAUAAUAAUGGAUAAAGUAUACUAAGUAAAUGGGCAAGGUUAUUGUUAUAUAUUCCAUAAACAAAUAUUUGUAAGAAUGUGCACCACCAAUGCAGUUCCUCUGUUUUGCUUGUAACUAAGUACUUACAGAGCUAUAACCCACUGUCUUCAUAGAACAGAGGAACACCUCCGGAAGAAUACUGGCAGGCAAAAGGUUAUCAUUAUAUAUUGUAUAGAAAAUUGUAAUUAUGUGUAUGGGUGAAGACUGAAUAGUCAAAAAAUGAUAAGCUACUGAAGUUGUCGUCUUUUGCAUCUUUGGUGCAGGAUUUAUAAGUACAAAUCUCGGUUCAUGGACCUGCUAAUUCUUUAUUCUUAGAAUUAGCUUACCUUCUCAAAUCAACUUGCUGAAUGUUUAUGUUGUGCAUUUCCUAUGGAAUAUAUAUGUUUUUGAUCUUGGAAAAUCCAUGAUACUCGCUGUACCAUAGAGUUGUUGUCGUAUUUAUACGUGUUGGAUGAAUUCAUCAGCGUGAAGCAACAGGCUAUCAAGGUACAUGAUGUCCCUGAUCUUUCUGUUCCAAAACUGGAGUUUGCGAAAUAUUUGACUAGAACUUGUUUGAUAUUUUGCAGCACAACCCAUGGGAGCAGACAUCACUUCGCGAUUAAUUAAUGGAUGACAAAUGCCUUUGUUCAUGUGCUAUAUGAAACUGGUUACAUUGUUGUAGACUUUUGGUACAACUUGUACAACUAGUUGCCACUGUGUUGCAGCUAGCAUCCCAUGCCCUGUUUCUUUUUUCUGUAACAUGCCAAGAGUGAUGUUGGUUUCGUGAGCGUGACUAUACUGGCCUGGGAUACUGACGAAGUGCAACAAGGCAUUGGUUGCUUCCUGAAUAUUCUACUUUCUCAUCCUGUACAAUCGUUUAGUUUCUUUGGUUGUAGCCUGGUUUUCUAUUUUGCUUGUUGUAACUGGCCCAGUUUGAAUAUUCCAUGACACUAUGUGUACUAUAUUUUCUGUGUUGGAUGAAGCUGGAAUCAUUAACACAAAGUGAACACAUGCUGAUGGCACCCGACGGACAGAAAGUACGCCCUCAGUUCAACCUUGCAAGUUGAUACUCCCAGAAUACCA
rnacentral:lncRNA from 1 species